GGGCCCGUGGCCAAGUCUGGAUUAAGGCGCCGGCCUUCGGAGCCGGAGAGCGUGGGUUCAAAUCCCACCGGGCCCGCCA
rnacentral:tRNA from 1 species